AUCCCUUAGCGCAAUGGGUAGCGCGUUGGACUUCUAGUUCAAAGGUCGUGGGCUCGAAUCCCACCUGGAAUG